rnacentral:other from 1 species
UGAUCCCUGCACUCUUCGCUUGCGGUACUGAUUGGAAGAACCAACACCCAAUCAAUGGGAGUUCGGCUCCGGUCGUGACGGGCAGGCCUUAUCCGUCCUCGUGAUGGAUUCAAGGACGUCCAACACGACUGGGAGGACACCCACCGUUGCGAAUCGGUUCUCUUCAUAUCGACCGUAAGGAGUGCGGGGAUCUC